rnacentral:rRNA from 1 species
AUUGAACGCUGGCGGCAUGCCUUACACAUGCAAGUCGAACGGCAGCGGACCUUCGGGUGCCGGCGAGUGGCGAACGGGUGAGUAAUAUAUCGGAACGUACCUUUCAGUGGGGGAUAACGUAGCGAAAGUUACGCUAAUACCGCAUAUUCUGUGAGCAGGAAAGCAGGGGAUCGCAAGACCUUGCGCUGAUUGAGCGGCCGAUAUCAGAUUAGCUAGUUGGUGAGGUAAAGGCUCACCAAGGCGACGAUCUGUAGCGGGUCUGAGAGGAUGAUCCGCCACACUGGAACUGAGACACGGUCCAGACUCCUACGGGAGGCAGCGGUGGGGAAUUUUGGACAAUGGGCGCAAGCCUGAUCCAGCCAUGCCGCGUGAGUGAAGAAGGACC